UUAUAAAAUAAAAUAUUAUUUAUUUAUAAAAAUAAAAUAAUAAAAGAUAAAUGAAUAAUAAAAACAAUCUAAAGAACUGAAUAACUUUAAUUAAAAAUAUAAUAAUAGUUUGAGAAAAGUAUCAAUUACCCCCAAAAUCAUUCAAAUUUUUCCUAGCGACUGACCCGACCGAACAUGAAAACCAGUAGCUCUGGAGCAUCUGACUUUUGGGUUUGGGCCCUUUUCCGCGUAGCUUCAACAUCACGCGGUUUCCAUGACCUUUACCUACCAUCUUAUCUACACUCUUCCCGUGCCCUUUAUAAAUCCGCCUUCCCCACGGAGCAAGUCAUCGAUACGUGAGAGAGAGAGGGGUAGAGUGUUGAUCUUUGAGAUGUAGAUCGGAACACUCCUUUUUGUGAUUCCUUCUCUUCGUUUGCCCAUUUCAGCUUCCUCCAUCUAUCUCGUGUUUCUCUCAUCUAUGAAAUUUUCAAGCAGUAAGAGAAAGGGAGAGAGUGCUGUUGGGGGUUGGAGGUGUGGGAGAGUUGGGCAAGAAUUAUGACCUUUGUUCAAUCCAAAGGGGUAAUUCUUACCAACCCCUCCCAUACCCUUAAUUUCCAACCGUUGCUCCCCUUCCCUGCCUUGGGUCCAUUCCCUUUUGUUUGCUUCUUUUAAGAGAACAGCAACUAAGAGCUGCAGCUCUCAUGAUUUAUAGGAGCUUGUAAUAUUUCAUAUGUUUGUUGACAAAUUUAAAAGCCAGGAGCCCUGGGCUGGAGAUGAAUUCUGUAGAAAUCUCGUGGAGGAAAACGAAUCACGAAUUGUCCAUUUGUGCGCCUAGAGGUGAGCCCAUUGGCCGGAAUUUGGGCUGAGUCCGACUAAAAAUUGAGGCCCAUUUAUUAGGCUGGGGUUCGGCUUCGUCCGAAAAAUGAGUUUAAAAUUUUAUUUAAGCCCGAUCUAAAUAAAAAUAUUAAAAUUUAAGCUCGAUUUGGCCCGUUUAUAUUAUUUUAUAUAAUAUUAAAAAUAUAUAAUAAAUUAAAAAUAUUAAAAAUAUCAAAAUAAAUAUUUGUCAAUAAAUUGAAAAUAAAUUUUAAAAAUAUUUAUAUAUAAAUAAUAAUAAGAUAUAUGUAAUUUAAUAAGUAAAUAUUUCUAAAAUAAUAAUAAAAUUAAUAAAUAUCUUUAAAUAAUAAUAAAAUUAAUAAUAAAAUAAGUUUUAUUUAAUAAUCAAAUAAUAACAAUAAAAUAAUAUUAAUAUAAUAGUAAAAUGAUAGUAAAAUAAAGAGAAAAUAAAAAGAAAUUAAUAUUAAAAAAAUAUUUUUUUUCUUUUAGUGAAUUAUGGUUAUGGUUGGGCUCGAAAAAAAUGCCUUACUCGAGGUUUAACUCGUUUUUUAAAUAGAUUUUAUUUUUUUGUCUAAGUUUAUUUUUUGAUUUUAUAUUUUUGUUAAAAUUCUCUCAUAUUUCGAGUGGACUUUCAGAACGGACCGGGUGACUCGACCAAUGCUCACCACUAAAGAAGCCUCUUACAUGUUAUAUUAUUCUGACAUGGUCUUAUAAGUAGAGUUUGUGUUAGCUUGGUUUCAACAAUGAGUUUAAAUUUUUGUCCAAAUUUUAUUUAGAUUAUAUACACUAAAUUUGGGCUCAACCCAUGCAUUUCGUAGUAAUCUUUUUAAAAAACUUACAAUAUAAACAAAUUUUAAAAAUAAAACAAGUUUACUAAAUAUUUCUCAAUAGUUUAAAGUUUAAAAUAAUUGUAAUUAAAAUAAUAGUAAAAUAACAAUAAAUUAAAUUAAGCAAAAACAAUAAAUUCAAAAUACGAUUUUUUACUUAAAUAUUAUAAAAUAAAAUAAAAUAAUUGAAAAUAGUAUCCCACCCUAAUUAAUUAUGGGAAUGAGUUGUUUGGGUAGGAUGAAGGGUUGUGUAGAGGCGGCAUCAUUAAUUUUUUUGACAAAAUUAAUUAAUAAAAAAAUUAUAUUGAUGGAGGAUAACUAAUAGGCAGUACCAAAAUAACCCAUAUAACUCAAUAUAACCCAAAAAUUGGUGGUGUCUACCAGGCAAGGACACCAAAAGUGCUGAUCUUUUUGUGAAAAUAGAAAAUAUUGUUGUUUGUGAUUAAAAUAGUGUUAAUGUUUUCUCUUUUUCUUCAUCAUUGAUUUUAUAGGUAUUAUAUUGCUGACCUUAUACUUUUAGUUCAGGAGGUUGGUUCAAUUUACUGGGUUUUGUUAACUUUUUUUUAGAGGUAGAUUUUUGAAUUAUUGCAAGUUAUCAAAUUUCUUUUUAACAUUUGCAAGUUUAAUAAUUUCUUAUAUUGGAAAUAGAAAAUCAAAAUGAAAAUAUAGAACAGAUUCAGUUGAUGACCGAGACUUUGGUGCUGCCUCCUAGGUAGAAAAUCAAAAUAAAAUCAAUGAAGAAAGAAAAAGGGAAAACAUUAACACUAUUUUAAUCACAAAAAGUAAUAUUUUUUAUUUUCAAAAAAAAAAACAGAAAAAAUACAAAGCAUAAGUAUAGGGUUUGUGAGACUACUUCUUUUGGUGCCGCUUGUCAGGUAAACACUACCAAUUCUUGGGUUGUGUGUUGUGUUCGGUUAUACGGGUUAUUUUGGUGCCGUCUAUUAAUUAUCCUCCAUCAAUAUAAUAUUUUUUUGGUUAA